AUUGAACGCUGGCGGCAGGCCUAACACAUGCAAGUCGAGCGAGCGGCGGACGGGUGAGUAAUGUAUGGGGAUCUGCCCGAUAGCGGGGGAUAACUACUGGAAACGGUAGCUAAUACCGCAUACUAUCGGAUGAACCCAUAUGGGAUUAGCUGGUAGGUGGGGUAAAGGCUCACCUAGGCGACGAUCCCUAGCUGGUCGGAGAGGAUGAUCAGCCACACUGGGACGGAGACACGGCCCAGACUCCUACGGGAGGCAGCAGUGGGGAAUAUUGCACAAUGGGCGCAAGCCUGAUGCAGCCAUGCCGCGUGUAUGAAGAAGGCCUUCGGGUUGUAAAGUACUUUCAGUCGGGAGGCGUUACCGGCAGAAGAAGCACCGGCUAACUCCGUGCCAGCAGCCGCGGUAAUUC
rnacentral:rRNA from 1 species